CCAGGUCAACUGGAAGUUGGAGCAGGAUGUACUGUCCAGCAGAGGGCAAAGAAACAAGCUCCUUGCAGCUGCUCCUUCCCUGGCCUGUGGAUGGGGCCAGGUUGUCCUUCCCUCUACAGUGACCUCCUUUGGGAGACAGGAGCCGUCUUCGCAGCCAUCAUGAACUGCCAUCUCAACCGGCACAUGCCUGGAAUGCCAAUAACUUUCCGGGAAGGGUCCCUGGACUGCAAUCGCUGCAGUCACGGGCUCCGACUGCCGGAGUGAACUUUAACAAAAUCAAUUGAAUCCAGAGGACCAAUAUGAAUGCUGUUGAACUUUGGACUAUUAUCUGAAAUAACUGUGACUGACAAAAAUGGUUCUCUGGGUAACCUUUUUGCGGGGCUCUCGUGCAGCCCCCUUUAGCGAUACCCGUUUAUUGAGAGAAUCCCACGGGGUAAUUAAGUGGCCGCUGAUUGCCUUGAAAUAUUGCACGGCCAAGAAAAAUGAUCCCUUUCUCUAAUGACAGCUAGGUACCAUUUUCCUCUAAAGGUGGACAAAGGGCUUCCUCUCUCUCUUUCUCAGGAACAAGUGCUGAGAUUCAA